rnacentral:tRNA from 1 species
GCUGGUUUUGCUCAGUGGAUAGAGCAUCAGCCUGUGGGCUGAAGGGUCCUGGGUUCAAUUCCCAGUAGGGGGCA